UACGAAGGGGGCUAGCGUUACUCGGAUUGACUGGGCGUAAAGGGCGCGUAGGCGGUUUGUACAGUCAGACGUGAAAUUCCUGGGCUCAACCUGGGGGCUGCGUUUGAUACGUGCAGACUUGAGUUCGGAAGAGGGUCGUGGAAUUCCCAGUGUAGAGGUGAAAUUCGUAGAUAUUGGGAAGAACACCGGUGGCGAAGGCGGCUCACUGGCUCGUAACUGACGCUCAUGCACGACAGCGUGGGGAUCAAACAGG
rnacentral:rRNA from 1 species